GCCCCGGUGGUGUAGUUGUAGCACACGUCCGCGGUAUGGAUGAAACGCGGGCUCGACUCCCGCUUGAGGUU